UGGAGAUCUGUUCUGCUGGAGUUUUGUGAGCCCAGGAUAGGGGUUUGCUUCGGGGCAUAAAGCUUGGAUUCUGAUCUGCAAAUUCAUGUGUGGUUUGGGUGCUCACUAUGAGCUUCUCACAGGGAGUGCUGAGUUGCUUCAGCUCACAUUGUAUUUAUGGUAAGUGGAAGUUUUCUCUCCAUGAACUCUUCAGAGAAGUCUUGCUGCAUAGUGUGGCAUGCAAAGGGAAUUUUCAUCCACUUGUGGAGCCUCAGUGUGUCCACGAUAUUUGUCAGUAGAAUCUCCAGUUGUAGUACACUGCAAUCAAGUGGCUUGGAUUCAAGUCCCAGAGGCAGUCAUACCUCUUCAGCUUUUGAUUAGAAGUUAAACUCAGAACUGAAGGCAAUGUGGUUCAUUGCAGCUUUUCCUAAAAUCUAGGCUGGAACAACAGACCUGCUUUGACAGAAACCACAGUUGGUUCAAAUGUGAAGAACUGAUAUGUCACUAUCAAUACAAGCAGCAUCUAAAUACAAAUAUCAAAUAAAGUCAUUCAAAGUGUGAGAGCACCAGCUCAGAAUGGUGCAAAAAUUCAUGGUUUUGAUUAUCAUAGCAGAUCAUUUACUUAAACUAAAUUUACAUUUAUUGAAACUAGGAUUGAUUUUUGAAUGGGAGUCUAUAUUCGUAAUGCUAGUUUUUCCUGAAAUAUUUAUUUACAUCUACAAAUCAUGUUUCUGCCUAGAAAAAUCUGCAGCUAGAAUAUCAAUAUGUAGUUUUCUGCUUAAUUCAUAGCUAGAUGAUUAAUUAUUCCCUUAGUAUACAGGUAUUUGCUUUUACUUAUUCCUACCUGUGUUUUUCACUGUGUCUUUUAUGGGUGAAAGUCUUAUAACAAGCGUUGCUAAGAAAAGCUGCUGCUUUAUGAGCAAUAGAGGUGCACUUUAAGUUAAUGCCUACAGCAAACUACUAACAAAACGUGCAUUCUUUUAAAGACUGAGAACAGGACUGAACUGUAAAAAGUACUAGCAAUACAUCUUUUGUGGCUGUUGUGACUGUGCACUUCCAGGCCGUUGUCUUAUCUAUUGGAUGCCCUCGUAACAAUUGAAAAAGAUAGGUGGGAAAUAAUGUGAGGAAAAAAACAAAAAAAGGUGGGUUUUUUUGGUCUGUUUUGUUUAUUUUUUAUAAAUCAGAUUUCUAGCAGUUCUUGGCUAUGGAUGAAUCAGAAAUAGUAGCAUAAUAGGCAUUUUUGCAGAACGCUGAGAUGUUAAUUUUAAGUCUCAGAGAAAUGUUUGAAUAAACAAGUGAAAAGUUUGAAUAAACAUAUCAAAUCCCCACCAGGCAUGAAAUAACUGUAUCUUCUGAAGUCCAGAAUUGUUUGACAGUUGUUAAGGUAACUUUUAAGUUACCUUUGUAAACAGAGUUUGAUUGCUCAUUCCUAGCAAUAAAUGACUGCGGCUCUGGAGAGCCUCUCAAUAUUAAGAUAAAAAUAUUAGAACUGUGAGGAUAGACUAAAAAUGAACAUAUUUGAGGAUCCUCUCCCUUUCCUUUAUUAUUAUUUCCUUUACUACGCGGGUUAUUGGAUCAGAACACCUUCCCAAACACUUUGCAAAUCUAAAAUCUGAACAGCAAUGAGCACACGGGUAUACAAGCACUCGUGCUGUUUUCUGUUGAUUUGCAAAAAUCUUCCUCUGGAAUCUUCUCUUGUCUAAUUUUAUUUUUUUAUCAAGAUAAGUGUUUAAGAGUGAUAAAGAACUUAAAAGAUAUAUUUUUUUUAUUUUUAAUCUUGAAUAAAUUUUCAAAGUAGCAAAGCUUUGACCACUCAAGGAUUCUGGGGGCUCCUUUUGUUCCCACCAGGAUUAUGCCAUACUCUCCACAUACUCCUUUUAAUUCUCUGAUGUUUCAUUUCUCCUUGUCCAGAAUAUAAUAGGAAAAUAAUUUCUGUUGGGGUUAUAAAUUUUGAAAUUUUCAUAAUUAACCCCUGUUUUUUUCUUUUCUGACUGAUCUUUUCGGUAUUUUCUCUCAAACUGCUUUGACAGCUUUCGGUCUUCAGAAUAUUGUUUCCUUGCCUGCCAUUUUUUUGCCCCUAAGUUCCUUGUAACUUGCAAUGAAUUACACGCAACCUCUGCCUAUCCUUGGCUGAGUUCCUUGAAAUUCUACUGUUUAGUAAUUUGAUGCUAAUUCCUAUGUGCCAAUUCUGCUCCAUUAGCGUGAUUUACAAACUAAACGAACCUUGAUUUUAAUAAACCAGGGUUGAGGUGGAUAGCAAUUAUGAAAGGAGAGAACACCUCUGAGAGUUUCAUUUUAAUUGAAAUAUAAUUCACAUGCCUAAACAUCUUGAAAAAUCAGAGAUAGACACCUCAGCUUCCACUUGUUGAUGUUUUUCUUCUCAAAUCAUGUAUUGCAGGUCAAAAAAAGACUUGCUGAGAAAGAGAACGGCCUUACUUCUGCAUGCUGGUUUCUUUGACCACCUGAACUAGUGUCUUGCACGCAAACUUCUGAAUCAUCCAUGUGAUGGUUUACUUAUUAAAUCAAAACAAUGCACUGAAUAUAGGGCAAAAUGCUGCUUGAUGCCAAAUGUUUAAAUCUCCCUGAUUUGCCCUAGCAUACCUAUGCAUAAAUUAUUUUUACAAUCCAUUCCCAGCUGAAGCUCCUUUUCCACAGGAAUGGGAGAAAAUUGGAAACCAAUCCACAAAUUGUCAUACAUUUUCACAAACCCUAGAAGCUGUCAUUUUCUUGCUGCUUAGUAUUUUGAACAGUCUCGCCCACAGAAAUCUGCUGUCUCUGAUUUAAAGUCACUAUGUCAGUAUUUUGGGCUUGCUUCAGCUGUCACUCUAGCUGCUUUGUGCUUCACACUGCAGCAUCACUGCAAUUGUGGCUAGACUGGACAAAGAUUAACCAUAACCGUAACCGUGAGCAGAUCUGUGCUUUACCUUUCUUGAAGUUUAUUGCCAGGACAAUUCUGUAACAACCAUUGGUGAAGAUGCAAAUUGUAGAAAUUGUCCUAAUCUGGUUACUUCUCUGUUUUGGGAAGGGAAGGGAGGGGGAAAGAAAGAGGGGUAGACAUGAAAAAAUACUUUGAUAAAGCAGGAGGAUCAGUGCACUGAAUAUUUAAACCUCCAAGAGAGGCAUGGAGAAUCAUGAGCAAUGCUAAUCAACAAAGCAUAUGUUUGGGAAGAAAUCAGUUAACCAGAGUUAGGAAUAAUAAUGUAAAAACGUAAUUUAAUUGUAAUAGCAUACUGAUAUUUUGGAAUGAAAGGAGGUCGGUUCUUUCAAGGCCUCUCUAGGCUUGUGUUUCUACUCAAUAGUGGUUUAUUUAUUUUUUAUCCCCUUUUAAGUGUCAGUCUCCUUUUGAACAUAGUUGCAGCUUUUACUGCUGCUCUUUUAUAGUGUGUUCCACAUGUUAACCCUUUCUAAAUUCUUUUUUUUUCUUCCAAUCAGUGCAAUAUAAACUCAAACUAUAGUGGAAUGCUUGUAACCACAAAGGCUUAAAACCUCACUAAUGAAUUAGUAACAAGAAGCCUGACAUUUUGCUUAUUAAAGGGUGGGGAAAGGGAAGGAAAUAAUUAUUUAUGUUCCUUUUUUUUUCUUCUUGAUUUACUUACAUUCAUGUAUUGAACGGUACCAGAGCCAGGCAAUGAUAGGAGGAUAAAGUAAUCCAGAUGUCUUCAGUUGAUGCCAAAGAGAGUAAGUUGUUUUUUUUCACAUUAGCAACUGUAUGUAAAUAAGAUUAUUGUUCUCUAAAAGUAAUAUCAGUUUGUAAUUUAAGGAAGGUUGUUUUUGAAGACUGAAGACAAAGAGAUGAAGCUUAAUGAUAUAUUUAAGCUUGCCAGGAACUGUCUGGUAUAAGCAUAUGUAUUUUUAUAUGCAUUUUUGUGUCAUUUUCAACUGUGAAGGCUGUUGCAGGAACAUACACAAAUGACACAGAUGAGUACCUUUCUUUCUUUUGAAUCAAUACCCACGCAUUUCUUCAGAUUUCUUGCUAUCAGAAUUAUUUCUGUUUUUAUUCAUGUACCAAAUGUAAUACUAGUGUUUUUGCUUGUAAUCCUGGAAGCUUUUUAAGCCCAGAUCUUCCACUGUUGUCUACUCCAUUGUGGCAUGAUUGUGAACACUGCUCUGCUACAGAUCAAAAGCAAUUUGAUGAAUCUAUUUAUUUAGUGUAAACAGCAUGUGCUUGAGUAUUUCAACUGACUUACGAUAUAGCAUAUUGACCAGUCAUAUAGAAAUAUGUUCUGCACUAUUGUUCCUACUUCACAGAUAGUGUCCAGGAGACUCUUGGAUCAGCAGUUGCUCACCGACCUCUGUGGUGCUGCAUGGAUUUAUGAGUUCAAAUGGUCUUACUGAUUUUUUACAGCUGUCCAAACCAGCUCUCAUAAGGACUUCAUCUGUAUUUCCAUGUACGUGUAAGCGUAGAAUGCAGAGGAGGAAGAGGUGACUUUAGUCUUCUGCCUGUUUAUGGAGGAACAGGAUGUUUGUUCCUGACAAUUCCAGUUCUCAUCUGAAUCUGGUUUAUUCUUGCUGCUACACUUAGGUUAUACUAGGUUAUUGGGCUGUCUACGAGGGUGGAUAGUGAUAGAAAAAGGGGGAAUGGUUCUAGACUAAGACAGGGGAAGUUUAGGUUAGAUAUUAGGAGGAAGUUUUUCAGUCAGAAGGUGGUGACACUGGAACAGCUUGUCCAAGGAGGUUGUGGAUGCCCCAUCCCUGGAGGCUUUCAAGGCCAGGCUGGCUCUGGGCAGCCUGGUCUGGUGGUUGGCGACCCUGCACAUAGCAGGGGGUUGAAACUAAAUGAUCAAAGAUCAUCUUGAGAUCAUUAAAGGUGUUAAGGUUGGAGACGGCCUGGGCUGCAGUGGCCAUGCCCUGGUUGAUCUCGAGGGAUGUGGACCUGGCAAAGAGUAGAGUCACGACCCGGAACUUCGGAAGAGUGAACUUUAAGCUGUUCAAUGGACUGUUGGCCAAGAUCCCCUGGGAUGCUGUCUUUAAAAACAAAGAUGUUGAGGAGAGCUUGUUACUCUUCAAGGAUGCCUUCCUGAGAGCACUCUGUGUCCCUCUGAAUAAUAAAGUGGGCAGAGGAGGUAGGAAACUGACAUGGGCUUGACAAGGACCUGCUGAGAAUGCUAAGGGCAAAGAAAGGUGCACACAAGCUCUGGAAACAAGGCCAUGUCACCUGGGAAGAAUACAGGGAUGCUGUUUGGACUUGCAGACGUGGGAUCAGGAAAACCAAGGCACAGGCAGAACUGAACUUGGUGAGGGACAUGAAAAACAAUAGGAAGACUUUGUACAGGUACAUUGGCCAGAAGA